rnacentral:rRNA from 1 species
UAUGGCCAUACCACCCUGAAAGCCUCUGAUCUGGUCUGAUCUCGGAAUCUAAGCAGGGGAGGGCCUGGUUGGUACUUGGAUGGGAGAGAAGAAUCUUUUUUUUUUUUUUUCCUUAGGAGAAGAAUGGUAAAAUAA